rnacentral:rRNA from 1 species
AGCCAUGCAUGUCUAAGUCCAAGCUGCGUGUCUCGUGGGCGCAAGUUCGCGGACACGCGGCGAAACCGCGGACGGCUCAUUAAAUCAGUCGUGGUCCUAAUGGGCUAGUGUUAUCUUACUCGGAUAACUGUGGUAAUUCCAGAGCUAAUACAUGCAACUUACAUAGUCCGAACGGCGUUGGUGGCCUCGCGCUGCCCUCGUUGUGACGGCUGCUCUUAUUAGACCAAACCGCUGAGGGCUACGUAGCCCGAAGACUCGUGUUAUGGUGACUCUGAAUAAUACCUUUUGACAAGCGCACGUAUCCAUUGGUUUGGGACGGCGCUGCCACUUUCGAGUGUCUGCCUUAUCAGCUAUGAAUCGUUUGUUAUGCGCUACCGAUGGCUUUGACGGGUAACGGGGAAUCAGGGUUCGAUUCCGGAGAGGCAGCCUGAGAAACGGCUACCACGUCCAAGGACGGCAGCAGGCACGCAAAUUACCCAAUCCCAGCUACUGGGGGAGGUAGUGACAAAAUCUAACGAUGCGGGCGCCCCUUCUGGGGCCCCGCAAUCGGAAUGAGCAUUUUCUUUCUAAACACCCUGUUGAGAACCCACUGAAGGGCAAGUCUGGUGCCAGCAGCCGCGGUAAUUCCAGCUUCAGCAGCAUAUACUAAAGUUGCUGCGGUUAAAAGGCUCGCAGUUGAAUGUCAGUACCGAGUGCAGCGAUGGUGGACGCUGGGGUGUGGGAGUUUGCUCCCUCGCGCUCGCGUAUAUACUCGACGCCAGGUCAUGCGAGACAGGGUUCGUCCUUGUAAUCGUCUCUGACUGGUCUAGGGGAAGGCGCGCGUUAGUGCGAGUGUGUGUCGGCUCUCCAUCUAUAGCCCCCGUCCGUAAACAGCCUCCUCACUCGCGUACAAAAUGGAAUGUAUAAUGGCGAUGUUGUUACAAYGCCGUCAUCUUCGCUCACUCCUUCGUUUGUCUCACUCYUUCUACAUCUCGUCGUCGCUUCGCGGCGGCGGCGGGUGCGAUCGGGUGCGUCUGACACUCGUCGGCGGUGGCGCGUCAGGAUUUCGGUGAAGCGUUAUCUCGGAGCUUGGUUCCAAAGUUACCUUGAGUAAAUUGGAGUGCUCAAAGCAGUCGUAAGGAUUGUGCGGCGUUCUGCGUCGCGCGAUCCGUGAUGAAUGUCUAUUAUGACAGACAGUCUUUGUUUUGCAUGGUAUGUCGAAAGACGCCGUAUCUCCCGUUGGUAACGAGUCUGGUGCGGGCUUACAUUUCCAGCGCGCGUAGCUCGCGUCGGAUGGAGUGAUAUCUAUCCCUCUUGCUGCGCGCGUCUAUCGGGGUGUAACACACGGGACCAACGGGUGCGGAAUGAUUAAAAGGCUCGGUCGAGGGCAUUGGUAUUGCGAGGCGAGAGGUGAAAUUCUAUGACCCCCGCAAGACCUCCUGAAGCGAACGCGUCUGCCAAGGACGUUUUCAUUAAUCAKAACGAAACAGGCGUGGAGCCUGCGGCUUAAUUUGACUCAACACGGGCCAUCUCACCAGGCCAGCACUCUUGUACGAUUGACAGAUUGAAAGUUCUUUCUCGAUUCAGUGGAUGGUGGUGCAUGGCCGUUCUUAGUUGGUGGAGUGAUCUGUCUGGUUAAUUCCGAUAACGAACGAGACUCUCCCCUGCUAACUAGUCGGUUGGAUCUUGCGUCUGGAGAGUUGUGUUUAUCGCUAGCGCUCGUCGGUGGCUUUAGCUUGAGGGUACGCGCGCGUCGGGCGGGCGGUGUAUUGCGAGAGUGCGGGAGUAGGAGCUGCUGUUUACAGUAAGCCUUCGCCCGUUUCCUCUUCUGCUGCCGCUUGUUCGUUCGUGUGUUUGCUCGCUCGUGACUGGUCCCUUCGUUGUGUCUUUGCGUUGCACACUCCAAGUCCGCCGCUUACGUCGAUAUGCGACGCUUCACGGCGGAGCUAUCGGUGUAAAACUCUUCUUAGAGGGAUUCACGGUUCUGAAGCCGUAAGAGACUGAGAGCAAUAACAGGUCUGUGAUGCCCUUAGAUGUUCUGGGCCGCACGCGCGCUACAAUGCCGUGCUCAGCAUGUAUUUGUCCUUCUCCGAGAGGAGUGGGUAAUCCUAUGAAAGCUCUAUAAACAAUGAUAAAAGGGUGUCUCUCUCGUGCGCGUGCGCGCGCGCUCGCAGGUGUGUUCGUUCUUUCGAGGGCGUUCGCGCUCGUCUGUGUGAGUGUGCGUCGUACUUGAGUUAUCUCUUCCAUGGCUUGCUUGGGCCUGGGGCUUGCAAUUCUUUCCCACAAACGAGGAAUGCCUAGUAGCGGCGGAUCACUGAGUUCGCUGUGACUCAGUCCCUGCCCUUUGUACACACCGCCCGUCGCUACUACCGAUUGGGUGUACCAGUGAGAUCUUUGGACUGGCGAGCCUCGCAUUCUUUAUUGAGUGCGAGUGUGUACGACGGGAAGAGGCUCGAACUGGUGCACUUAGAGGAAGUAAAAGUCGUAACAAGG